GUGAGGAAUAUUGGUCAAUGGGCGAGAGCCUGAACCAGCCAAGUCGCGUGAAGGAAGAAGGAUCUAUGGUUCAUAAACUUCUUUUGCAGGGGAAUAAAGUGCAAGACGUGUCCUGUUUUGUAUGUACCCUGAGAAUAAGGAUCGGCUAACUCCGUGCCAGCAGCCGCGGUAAUACGGAGGAUCCGAGCGUUAUCCGGAUUUAUUGGGUUUAAAGGGUGCGUAGGUGGUUUGAUAAGUCAGCGGUGAAAGUUUGCAGCUUAACUGUAAAAAUGCCGUUGAAACUGUCGGACUUGAGUGUAAAUGAGGUAGGCGGAAUGCGUGGUGUAGCGGUGAAAUGCAUAGAUAUCACGCAGAACUCCGAUUGCGAAGGCAGCUUACUAAGCUACAACUGACACUGAAGCACGAAAGCGUGGGGAUCAAACAGGAUUAGAAACCCUGGUAGUCC
rnacentral:rRNA from 1 species